UCCGUUAUGGUGUAGUGGCUAACAUUAUCGCCUCUCAUUCCUAUCUACCAGAUUUGGGACCGCGAUAGCCCAGGGUUCGAUUCCCUGUAACGGAG